AUGGGGACAGUGGCUUCAAACUUUCUCCGGCACAAGGUGCCCCGUCCCCAGAGGUUUCUGGAUCGGGCUUCCAUGGCAGCAGGCGUGACCUGGCCAAGAGCUGAGCCAGGCCUCCUGCCUGUAAGGGCCGCUGGCCGGGAGCAGAGCAGGAAGGCUGGACCCCAGCCCUGCUGGACACCUGCCUGGCAGAGGACACUCGAAGACAAGCCAGGCCAAUCCAGAGCUGAGUCCAGAGCUCCCAAGAGGCCCCCGACGGCGGAGCACCACGUCGGCCACGUGGACACCACAUGGCACCCCACGGCCGCCACCAGAGAAGCCCCCCUUCCCCGGGGCCUCGCCUCCCUCGGACACCAUCCCCACCUGUCAUCCCUCCUGAGUGGUAUGUGGACUGUCCAGGGGGUGAGUCAGGUAGAGUCAGGGGCUCCGAGGGGCAGUGGCCAGAGAUGCUCUGGGGAAGGGCGAGGGCGAUGCCCUGCGGGGAGGGGACUCCGGACACACCCUCGGUCGCACGGCCCACCCUACUGGGCUCGGCUGAGGAAGGCGGAGGGUCCGGCAUCGAGGCGACAGCUAACUGCUCGAGAGCCCAGAAGGCAGUGGUGGAGGGCAGCCCUCUGAUGGCCGGGGCCGGGCAGCACCCUGGACAUCCAGGCAGACAGGGAAACUGCUCAACCCAGUAACACGGACACGUGGCCUUUCCUGCCUGCCCUUCCCUUCUCUGGGGACGUGGGGCCAGGAGCACUCCCGGGGCGCAGGGCUCGCCUCACCCGGGGCCCAGCCCUGCCAGGGGAUGGGGGCCCUGAUUCUGACCCCCAGCUCAGCCGGAGGCCAGUCCUGAGGAGUGAGGCCAAGUGAGCCCGAGGGCGGGCGGAGAGUGUGGCGCUGUGGCCGCGCCCUGUCCAGGUGGGCGUGCGGUCUGCAGCUCGGGGCCCCAGGACCUCAGAUGGCUCCCGGACCAGAUGCACAGCAGCAAGGGGCUGGGGGGGGCUUCCUGUCCCUGACCUGUCCCCUAACCUGGCCUCCGUCUCAGAGCCUAGGUGGUACUCCGUGACCUCGGGCCUUGGGGGUGCGCAUGAAAGACAGGCAGGGAGGCAGUGCUCUUCCUUCUGGGCCCCGCUGUCCCCCUGCCCCAGCCCCACCUGGGUGGGACCCCGGCCCACAGGGGAAUGGGCUUCUGGAUCACACCACAGCCCACCCCACACCCCCUUCCGGAAGCACCUGUGUCGGCGGGUCUGGAGCAUGGGGUGGGGUGCCUGGGGACGUCCCCGGGGAGUUGGGUGCACAGGGGGGCCACCGCUUCUCCCUCAGGGCAGCAGAUUGGGGUCCGCGGUUCCGACGCCACUUGCCCCCCUCCUUGAUUAAAGACGUGAGGCGCCUCUGUAUCCCCCCCAGGGAAGGGGGGGCAGGCCAGGAAGGACCCAGCCAGCCCCGCUAGCCCUCGUCUGACGAGCAGAGCUGCCACCUUCCAAGAAGGGGCCACAGCUCAGCACGCCCCAGAGCGAGAGGGACAGGGCACCAGGCCGGGACCUGCCCAUCUGUGCCCCAUGUCCACUUGAGGUCAGGGGAGACUGGGGGCCCCCAUGAGGGCCCGGGGGAGGGGCAGUCCCCGAGAGGGGGG
rnacentral:lncRNA from 1 species